ensembl:lncRNA
GAACGCGCGUCUGCCUGUGGUUCGGCGCGCUCUUUCGCUGCUGUUUAUAGCGCUCUGGGAAUACUAAUCUCAUCUUUGAGGGGACAAACAACGAAUAAGCUUUCUAUUCUUCGAGGCGACUUUUUCGCUUCUGCGACAGCGUCAUCUGUGCAAGAAGGAGCUGAAUAUUUCCCAGCAGUGAAAAGAGGCGAGGAAAUAAUAUAGUUGGUGACAUUUCCUGGCUCCUGACCUUUCUCCAUCCUUUGGUAACACUUCCUCUCCUGCUCAUUGGAUCACAGCAGCCCAUCUGUUGGUAAAUGACGCUGUAGAGCAGAGCCUGAACACCCGUCACCGUGGAACGUUGUGGUCUCCACUCGGUCAGCCAGACACUGCAUCCCUCACUGAGACGGGACAGAAGGGGAGAAUGAGCGUCGAAUGAAAACCACCAAUCAACCUCGCUGAAGACUGCUGACCGUGGUGAAGGAAAACCGUUGAAGAGGUGGAGGUAUUUGACCUUGACAGCCCCCCAAGUUGCACAACCCCCGGCUGCCCCUCCCAACCCCCAUUUUCCCAUCUUAAACCCCCCCCCCCUCCAGCCUUUGCCGGUUCACCCCUUUUGAGGCCGCCUAAGUGGACGUUUGUGGGGAGGAGCUUCGGACCAGACGACGCCAUUGGACGUUGCAGCCGUCUAUCACAACCGAGUGGGGGCUGUUCUGCUGUGGGCCAUGUGUUCCUGGUGAGUUCCCAGCACGCCGUCCUCCUCCCCGCCAUCAUGAGGCAGCAGCGUGCCGCGCCCCCCUCCCUCCUGACC